rnacentral:rRNA from 1 species
UGUCCUACGGGAGGCAGCAGUGGGGGAUAUUGCACAAUGGGGGGAACCCUGAUGCAGCGACGCCGCGUGGGUGAAGAAGCGCCCCGGCGCGUAAAGACCUGUCAGCAGGGAAGAAAAUGACGGUACCUGAAGAAGAAGCCCCGGCUAACUACGUGCCAGCAGCCGCGGUAAUACGUAGGGGGCAAGCGUUAUCCGGAUUUACUGGGUGUAAAGGGGGCGCAGACGGCGAUGCAAGCCAGGAGUGAAAGCCCGGGGCGCAACCCCAGGAAGGCUCUUGGAAAUGCGUGGCGGGAGUGCAGGAGGGG